rnacentral:lncRNA from 1 species
CAUACUUCAAUGUGCAUCUACAAGACACAUGAGAAACAUCAUUUUACAUGCAGGUGUCAUCACUGAAGGUUCCUGCAAUGCUGCCACCACUUGAGAAACCAUACUAACUAGAAGAGCUCGACUGGAACCCACAUAAUUAUGGGAACUCUGCAGUUUGGUGGAACAUACAUAUCCCUAUUGUCAGACAGCAAUGAAGAAGAGAUGGCAAGUGCUAUUUCACAGGUGAUCACAUUCAGCCCCACUGAGACUAAGACCCUCUUCAGUUCCUCCAGGGAAAAAACAACAGAGGACAGAAGGUCUUUCAGGGGUACUUCGGCCUCUCUCCUGUCAUUGGCCCAUUCCUCACUCACUCUUCCCAGCCUUUAGUGGCAGUAGGGAACAUAGGAAGAAAGCAGGAAUCUCUGGUGCUGUUGGGGGCAGAAAACGUGAGAACAAGUUCGGGAAACAGAGAAACCAGAGUCCACAACAUGGAUGUGGAAUCA